UUAGAUAGAUUUUAUAUAUAAAAAUAAAUAUCUAAAUUUUAAGUAUAUCAUUUACAAUGAUAAGAUGUUUUUAACUUUAUUUAAAUU
rnacentral:tRNA from 1 species